GUGUCUUAAAAAGGAAGGGAAAACGAAAUUACAUGCCAGUAUUACAAAAAGAAUUUACCCUGACAGCCAAGAUAUGGCUAUUUGCCCAAACACUUUCUUUGUAUGUUAUCCUACAGAAGACCAGGCUGCUCAACAGUUAGGACCAUAGACUGCACAGCCCUAAGUUCAAGUCUGGACUGAGGAAUAUGAAUGGAUGGCUUGGGUCAAUUACUUAACUUCUCUGUAUUACAGAAUCAUUUCAUUGUUCUACUCUAAAACAGAGAUACUGCCACCGACCUCACUGAUUGCUGUGAGAGGACUGAAUGUGAUAAUGAUGUACUCACCACACCCUAGGCACUCAAUAGAUAGCACCUACUAACUAUUUUCUCUCUCUUCCAUUUCCUAUUUUUUAGUUUGAUUAUUGAAGUGCAUUUCAUUUCUUUCACACUGGACUAUAAGCUGUUGAAGAUUUUCACAAAUGAAGCUAACAAUGAAAAGGCACAUGUGAGUCAAAGAAAAAGCAGAUAAAACAGGAAAAGGCAUCCUCCUACGGGACACGGGACUUACAUCCUGCAUUUGGGCGUUGAAGACUGCACAAGAUGACAACUGAAAAGACUGAAUCAUGACCUGAGCAACACCCUGUGGAUCAGAAUACAAUACACCUCCCAGGUUUUCAAGAUAGAUUUUAAUCAAAGAAAAAUGAAGACUCUCGCCACACUGUAAGUUAGUGAUGACAGGAAGACUGCGAUGGGAAGAUCCUUUCAGGCAAAGGGCCAGAGAAAAAGGGCAUCCAGACCACCUAAGAGAUAAAGGCCAGGAAGACAUCACAUGGCCAGAGAAACCUAAUAAUCAGAGAACAAGUUCUAAAACCAGCUAGAACAGUCUUUUUUUUUUUUCCAAUGAGAAUUCUCUUUAAUGGGGAAUUUUAUGAAGACCACAUAACAGCUUGGUUCAGACUGACCUCACACAGUGGUGGAAGAACUACAUACAGUUAGAACAGUUUUUUUUAAGCACCAAAUUUCAUUAUCAACAAAAUGGUAUAAAAAUCUAAGACUUACCAUCAUU